ACCGAGCUCACAGCAGGGGGAGGGUGGAGGCUGAUGGCAGGGCUAUAUGCAGAGCAUGAGGGGUCUGGGACGUUUCUCCUGAGUGCAUACCUCACCCACUUCAUGGCUGCCAUUUACUAGCGUGACUGAGGAGAUGAAAAAAAAAAAGAUAUGAAGAAUUUGACAAAAGUUACAGCUAUUAUGUGGCAAAGAGUAUACAGGAGCAAAACCUAACUGAUUAGAAAAGUAAGUAUUUAAGAAUCCUUACCACUGAGAAUGCUAGUGUGGACUUCUGAAUUGAAGAUAUCAUGAAUUUCAAUGUAACUCACAUGCAAAGAUUCACUUCUCACUAUCAGAUAAGUAGGAAAUAGUGGUUCUUGCUGACAUGAAGCUGGUUUUGUUCCUGGUGAAAACAAUAAGCAACGAGAAAACAGCCCAUGGCAACACCAGCUGAAUUUCAAGAGGUUCAAUGAGGGUGCAGCAGUAGUGGCAGUAUGCUGUACACCCAGCAUAAUCCUACCUAAUGCCACACAGGGUUCUGUGUACACAGGUGGGAGUCGAAUGGCCACUGGACAGAGCCAUAGCAAGGAGUAUGUCUCAUCCAUGAAAGAGAAGCAAUCAAUUUCUUUUACAGAAUGUAGAGUGCCAGGUCCACUACCCAUGACAUCAAGCCACAACACUCCCAAAUGGAAGUCUGAGGACAUAUAUAGGCCUAAAUGCAACAUAACCUUGAUAACCAGGAAAUAUUACAUGAGCUAUGGGGAAAGAAGGUUUCAUUCACAGCAGAUACAGGGUAGUGCCAUUAUUCAAGGGGGCCACAAGGUAUUCUGCAAAAAUAGACAAUCCUACACAAUAAUGGACCCAUUCCAUGCCUGGCAAGCCAGUCAGCAAGAACAGAGAGUAACUAAGGUUGGCACUUGAUAGAAUGGGCAUCUGAAUUCCAAAAGAAAGGUCUCUUCACUGGGCACAGAUGUCAAUGUGUUGAAGGUUACAUAGGCCAUUCACUAUGAAUUUCCCAACAACACUUGACACUGAUUUCUGGAUCUGAAGGCCUCUUAAUUAACCAUUGCCCUCAAAAGAAGCCUGAACUCUGUCCCUGCUUACUCUGUCAUUUUAUUUCACUUAAUCUUCUCCUCAACUUAAUGACGUUAAAUGUCAGCAAAGUAUUUUGAGUUAGUCUCAGAAAAAUUAAUAUAGCACAAUCUUAGAAUGUCCAAUUCAUAAACAUUCUGGUCCUAUUCAAUCAUUGCAUUUUAAAAAUUCAGGUUUUUAAUUUCACAUAGAAGUUAUUCUUCCAAUUAAAUUAAGCAUGCUUGUUGAGGCUUUUUGCUUGCAAUUUCCUCGUCAUUUUGUUGUCAUUAUGUGCCCCUCUCUGCAUGUUCACAUGCUUGUGCACAAUGAAAGCGUAUUUUAACAGAAAUACGUGUUGUGAGCUGCAGUAAAGGUAGGAUCUCUAAAGAAAUAAACUGUACAAGCUAGACUGGAGGAACCUGCAGAUGCCACCCAUGGGGCCUGGGGAGAUGCCUGAGGUCUGAGUUACUGGGUGCUAAGUGUCACGUGUGCCUGGAGGGGCCAAAGAAGAGAAAACCCUUUCUUCUGAUCAUGUUGUGCUACCAGAUUUUAAAUUUUUUCUAAGUUAUUAGUUUAAGGGUGACUGUGUCACUCAUUUUUCUUGAUAUUUAAUACAGGUGAACAUGUUUUCAGGUUUAUCAGAAUAUUUGUUCUACUGUUUUGUGCAUUGCCAUUGCCUGUUCAUAUAUUUGCCUAAUAUCUUAUUAGAUUCUAUUUUUUAUCCUCUUAAUUGUAGAUUCUUUUUUAUCUAUUCUGGACAUGAAAUCUAAGUGCUUCCAUAAAAGUACAUUACAGAUAACAUUUCCUUGCCAGUUGUUUGCAUUGCUUCCUUAUUUGUCCAUCCUUCUGCUAUUUAAGUGCAUCACGGCCUUGUAGGUACAGACAAUGGUAGAAAUUUUGUUGUCCUUCCAUAAGCAUUUAUGAUGCUCAGUGAGGAUUCUGAAUAGAAUUGAUUUAUAUAUUUACUUUGUAAUAGCUGGUAAAUUAAAAAAACAGAAAAAUCAUAUUCAGUAAAGUGUUUCAUUUUGCAUAUAGGUCUAUAAUUUUAUGUCCAUAGUGUUAUUGUCACAAACAUCUUGAACAUUUAUUAAUUUGAUUUAUUCUAGGUAAUUUAUAGUUUUGUUGAAUUUUGCACCUGCUUUAUACGAGUUUCUUGAUAAUAAAAAUGAUCUGUUGGAAGCCAUA